GUGAAACCACGUCAUUAACGUGUGAGGCCUUUAUUAGACUGCAAAAGGCCAAAUUACAGCCUUUAUAGGACUGUGAACGUAGUUAAGAGUGUUCUAAGGCCACGGCGCUAAGGAAAACCACUUGAAACGUUGUAGUGCAUUGAGACUGGAAGGAAUAGUCCAAUGGUAACCUGCGCAGGCAGAUGGAACCACGUGAUUUACGUGUGAGGACUUUAUUUGUCUGCAAAAGGCCAUAUUACAGCAUUUAUAGGACUGUGCAUGUAGUUAAGAGUGUUGUAAAGCAAAGGCGCUAAUGAAAACGACUUGGGACGUUGUAGCACAUUGAGACUGAAAGGACUAGACCAAUGGUAACCUGCGCAGACAGGUGAAACCACGCGAUUUACGUGUGAGGCCUUUAUUAGACUGCAAAAGGCCAUAUUACAGCCUUUAUAGGACUGUGCAGGUAGUUAAGAGUGUCUUAAGGCCACGGCGCUAAGGAAAACCGCUUGGAACGUUGUAGUGCUUUGAGACUGGAAGGAAUAGUCCAAUGGUAACCAGCGCAGGCAGAUGGAACCACGUGAUUUACGUGUGAGGCCUUUAUUAGAUUUCAAAAGGCGAUAUUGCAGCCUUUUUAGGACUGUGCACGUAGUUAACAGUGUUGUAAAGCAACGGCGCUAAUGAAAACGACUUGGGACGUUUUAGCACAUUGAGACUAAAAGGACUAGACCAAUGGUAACCUGCGCACGCAGGUGAAACCACGUGAUUUACGUAUGAAGCCUUUACUAGACUGCAAAAGGCCAAAUUACAGCCUUUAUUGGACUGUGCACGUAGUUAAGAGUGUUGUAAGGCAACGGCGCUAAUGAAAACGACUUGGGACGUUGUAGCGCAUUGAGACUGGAAGGACUAGGCCAAUGGUGACCCGCGCAGACCGGUGAAACCACGUGAUUAACGUGUGAGGCCUUUAUUAGACUGCAAAGGGCAAUACUACAGCCUUUAUAGGACUGUGCACGUAGUUAAGAGUGUCUUAAGGCCAUUGCGCUAAGGAAAACCACUUGAAACGUUGUAGCGCAUUGGGACUGGAACGACUAGUCCAAUGGUAACCUGCACAGGCAGAUGGAACCAUGUGAUUUACGUGUGAGGCCUCUAUUAGACUGCAAAAGGCCAAAUAACAGCCUUUAUAGGACUGUGCAAGUAUUUAAGAGUGUUGUAAGGCAACAGCGAUAAUGAAAACGACUUGAGACGUUGUAGCACAUUUAGACUGGAAGGAAUAGUCCAAUGGUAACCUGCGCAGACCGGUGAAACCACGUCAUUAACGUGUGAGGCCUUUAUUAGACUGCAAAAGGCCAAAUUACAGCCUUUAUAGGACUGUGAACGUAGUUAAGAGUGUUCUAAGGCCACGGCGCUAAGGAAAACCACUUGAAACGUUGUAGUGCAUUGAGACUGGAAGGAAUAGUCCAAUGUUAACCUGCGCAGGCAGAUGGAACCACGUGAUUUACGUGUGAGGACUUUAUUUGUCUGCAAAAGGCCAUAUUACAGCAUUUAUAGGACUGUGCAUGUAGUUAAGAGUGUUGUAAAGCAACGGCGCUAAUGAAAACGACUUGGGACGUUGUAGCACAUUGAGACUGGAACGACUAGUCCAAUGGUGACCUGCGCAGACCGGUGAAACCACGUGAUUAACGUGUGAGGCCUUUAUUAGACAGCAAAGGGCCAUAUUACAGCCUUUAUAGGACUGUGCACGUAGUUAAGAGUGUCUUAAGGCCAUUGCGCUAAGGAAAACCACUUGAAACGUUGUAGCGCAUUGAGACUGGAACAACUAGUCCAAUGGUAACCUGCACAGGCAGAUGGAACCAUGUGAUUUACGUGUGAGGCCUCUAUUAGACUGCAAAAGGCCAAAUAACAGCCUUUAUAGGACUGUGCAAGUAUUUAAGAGUGUUGUAAGGCAACAGCGAUAAUGAAAACGACUUGAGACGUUGUAGCACAUUUAGACUGGAAGGAAUAGUCCAAUGGUAACCUGCGCAGACCGGUGAAACCACGUCAUUAACGUGUAAGGCCUUUAUUAGACUGCAAAAGGCCAAAUUACAGCCUUUAUAGGACUGUGAACGUAGUUAAGAGUGUUCUAAGGCCACGGCGCUAAGGAAAACCACUUGAAACGUUGUAGUGCAUUGAGACUGGAAGGAAUAGUCCAAUGGUAACCUGCGCAGGCAGAUGGAACCACGUGAUUUACGUGUGAGGACUUUAUUUGUCUGCAAAAGGCCAUAUUACAGCAUUUAUAGGACUGUACAUGUAGUUAAGAGUGUUGUAAAGCAACGGCGCUAAUGAAAACGACUUGGGACGUUGUAGCACAUUGAGACUGAAAGGACUAGACCAAUGGUAACCUGCGCAGACAGAUGAAACCACGCGAUUUACGUGUGAGGCCUUUAUUAGACUGCAAAAGGCCAUAUUACAGCCUUUAUAGGACUGUGCAGGUAGUUAAGAGUGUCUUAAGGCCACGGCGCUAAGGAAAACCGCUUGGAACGUUGUAGUGCUUUGAAACUGGAAGGAAUAGUCCAAUGGUAACCAGCGCAGGCAGAUGGAACCACGUGAUUUACGUGUGAGGCCUUUAUUAGAUUUCAAAAGGCGAUAUUGUAGCCUUUUUAGGACUGUGCACGUAGUUAACAGUGUUGUAAAGCAACGGCGCUAAUGAAAACGACUUGGGACGUUGUAGCACAUUGAGACUAAAAGGACUAGACCAAUGGUAACCUGCGCACGCAGGUGAAACCACGUGAUUUACGUAUGAAGCCUUUACUAGACUGCAAAAGGCCAAAUUACAGCCUUUAUAGGACUGUGCACGUAGUUAAGAGUGUUGUAAGGCAACGGCGCUAAUGAAAACGACUUGGGACGUUGUAGCGCAUUGAGACUGGAAGGACUAGGCCAAUGGUGACCCGCGCAGACCGGUGAAACCACGUGAUUAACGUGUGAGGCCUUUAUUAGACUGCAAAGGGCAAUACUACAGCCUUUAUAGGACUGUGCACGUAGUUAAGAGUGUCUUAAGGCCAUUGCGCUAAGGAAAACCACUUGAAACGUUGUAGCGCAUUGAGACUGGAACGACUAGUCCAAUGGUAACCUGCACAGGCAGAUGGAACCAUGUGAUUUACGUGUGAGGCCUCUAUUAGACUGCAAAAGGCCAAAUAACAGCCUUUAUAGGACUGUGCACGUAGUUAAGAGUGUUGUAAGGCAACAGCGCUAAUGAAAACGACUUGGGACGUUGUAGCGCAUUGAGACUGGAACGACUAGUCCAAUGGUAACCUGCACAAGCAGAUGGAACCACGUGAUUUACGUGUGAGGCCUUUAUUAGACUGCAAAAGACCAAAUUACAGCCUUUAUAGGACUGUGCACGUUACCAUUGGACUAGUCGUUCCAGUCUCAAUGCGCUACAACGUCCCAAGUCGUUUUCAUUAGCGCUGUUGCCUUACAACACUCUUAACUACGUGCACAGUCCUAUAAAGGCUGUUAUUUAGCCUUUUGCAGUCUAAUAGAGGCCUCACACGUAAAUCACGUGGUUCCAUCUGCCUGUGCAGGUUACCAUUGGACUAGUCGAUCCAGUCUCAAUGCGCUACAACCUCCCAAGUCGUUUUCAUUAGCGUUGUUGCUUUACAACACUCUUAACUACGUGCA